UGGCCAGUGGAGUGGAAAGCAAAGUGCAAACCUGCCAAGAGUGAAACAACCAAGGACAAAGCUCAGUUACUCACACUGUGAAGAGCUCUGAGCUGAUCCCACUCCAACACUCCACCUCCAGUGCACAGUCAGCUCUGACUGCAGGGUGCUGCCAUGUGGGCCAUGCACACACAGGAGGGACGCCUGGCCCCCAGCACUGCCCAGCAGACAUGCUCCUGAGCUGCCAGGGACACGUACCAGUGACAGCCAGACAGAAAUAAAGCACGUCAGAGCACCCCACCAGAAGAUGGGAAAGACAA